AUGUUAGCGGCGGACGGGUGAGUAACACGUGGGUAACCUGCCUGUAAGACUGGGAUAACUCCGGGAAACCGGGGCUAAUACCGGAUGGUUCUUUGAACCGCAUGGUUCAAGGAUGAAAGAUGGUUUCGGCUGCCACUUACAGAUGGACCCGCGGCGCAUUAGCUAGUUGGUGAGGUAACGGCUCACCAAGGCGACGAUGCGUAGCCGACCUGAGAGGGUGAUCGGCCACACUGGGACUGAGACACGGCCCAGACUCCUACGGGAGGCAGCAGUAGGGAAUCUUCCGCAAUGGACGAAAGUCUGACCGAGCAACGCCGCGUGAGUGAUGAAGGUUUUCGGAUCGUAAA
rnacentral:rRNA from 1 species